UGGGGAAUAUUGGACAAUGGGCGAAAGCCUGAUCCAGCAAUGCCGCGUGAAUGAUGAAGGCCUUUGGGUUGUAAAAUUCUUUUACCAGGGAAGAUAAUGACGGUACCUGGUGAAUAAGCACCGACUAACUACGUGCCAGCAGUCGCGGUAAUACGUAGGGUGCGAGCGUUGCUCGGAAUUACUGGGCGUAAAGCACAUGUAGGCUGUUUUGUAAGUUAGAGGUGUAAUCCCUGGGCUUAACUCAGGAACUGCUUCUAAAACUGCAAAGCUAGAGUAUGGUAGAGGAUAGUGGAAUUCCUAGUGUAGAGGUAAAAUUCUUAGAUAUUAGGAGGAACACCAAAAGCGAAAGCAGCUAUCUGGGCCAUUACUGACGCUGAGAUGUGACAGCGUGGGGAGCAAA
rnacentral:rRNA from 1 species